rnacentral:rRNA from 1 species
UACGUAGGGUGCAAGCGUUAAUCGGAAUUACUGGGCGUAAAGCGUGCGCAGGCGGUUGUGCAAGACAGAUGUGAAAUCCCCGGGCUUAACCUGGGAAUUGCAUUUGUGACUGCACGGCUAGAGUGUGUCAGAGGGGGGUAGAAUUCCACGUGUAGCAGUGAAAUGCGUAGAUAUGUGGAGGAAUACCGAUGGCGAAGGCAGCCCCCUGGGAUAACACUGACGCUCAUGCACGAAAGCGUGGGGAGCAAACAGGAUUGAGAAACCCCA